UAAUACUCCCUCCAUUUCGAAAUGUUUGACGCCGUUGACUUUUUAGCAUAUGUUUGACCGUUCGUCUUAUUCAAAAAAUUUAAGUAAUUAUUAAUUCUUUUCCUAUCAUUUAAUUCAUUGUUAAAUAUAUUUUUAUGUAGGCAUAUAAUUUUACAUAUUUCACAAAAGUUUUUGAAUAAGACGAACGGUCAAACAUGUGCUAAAAAGUCAACGGUGUCAAAUAUUUCGAAACGGAGGGAGU
rnacentral:pre_miRNA from 1 species